UACGUAGGGGGCUAGCGUUGUCCGGAAUCAUUGGGCGUAAAGAGCGUGUAGGCGGCUCGGUAAGUCCGCUCUGAAAGCCCGGGGCUCAACCCCGGGAGGCGGGCGGAUACUGUCGAGCUAGAGUCCGGAAGAGGCGAGUGGAAUUCCUGGUGUAGCGGUGAAAUGCGCAGAUAUCGUAAGGAAGACCAGUGGCGAAGGCGGGUCUCUGGACAGUUCCUGACGCUGAGGCACGAAGGUCAGGGGAGCAAACGGG
rnacentral:rRNA from 1 species